AUGCACGCUGGCGGCGUGCCUAAUACAUACACGUCGAGCGAACAGACGAGGAGCUUGCUCCUCUGACGUUAGCGGCGGACGGGUGAGUAACACGUGGAUAACCUACCUAUAAGACUGGGAUAACUUCGGGAAACCGGAGCUAAUACCGGAUAAUAUAUUGAACCGCAUGGUUCAAUAGUGAAAGACGGUUUUGCUGUCACUUAUAGAUGGAUCCGCGCCGCAUUAGCUAGUUGGUAAGGUAACGGCUUACCAAGGCAACGAUGCGUAGCCGACCUGAGAGGGUGAUCGGCCACACUGGAACUGAGACACGGUCCAGACUCCUACGGGAGGCAGCAGUAGGGAAUCUUCCGCAAUGGGCGAAAGCUUGACGGAGCAACGCCGCGUGAGUGAUGAAGGUCUUCGGAUCGUAAAACUCUGUUAUUAGGGAAGAACAAAUGUGUAAGUAACUAUGCACGUCUUGACGGUACCUAAUCAGAAAGCCACGGCUAACUACGUG
rnacentral:rRNA from 1 species